UGCAGGUGGUUUUGUUAAGUCAGAUGUGAAAGCCCGGGGCUCAACCUCGGAAUUGCAUUUGAAACUGGCAAACUAGAGUACUGUAGAGGGGGUAGAAUUUCAGGUGUAGCGGUGAAAUGCGUAGAGAUCUGAAGGAAUACCGGUGGCGAAGGCGGCCCCCCUGGACAGAUACUGACACUCAGAUGCGAAAGCGUGGGGAGCAAACAGGAUUAGAUACCCUGGUAG
rnacentral:rRNA from 1 species